rnacentral:rRNA from 1 species
GAUGAACGCUGGCGGCGUGCCUAAUACAUGCAAGUCGAGCGAACGGACGAGAAGCUUGCUUCUCUGAUGUUAGCGGCGGACGGGUGAGUAACACGUGGAUAACCUACCUAUAAGACUGGGAUAACUUCGGGAAACCGGAGCUAAUACCGGAUAAUAUUUUGAACCGCAUGGUUCAAAAGUGAAAGACGGUCUUGCUGUCACUUAUAGAUGGAUCCGCGCUGCAUUAGCUAGUUGGUAAGGUAACGGCUUACCAAGGCAACGAUGCAUAGCCGACCUGAGAGGGUGAUCGGCCACACUGGAACUGAGACACGGUCCAGACUCCGACGGGAGGCAGCAGUAGGGAAUCUUCCGCAAUGGGCGAAAGCCUGACGGAGCAACGCCGCGUGAGUGAUGAAGGUCUUCGGAUCGUAAAACUCUGUUAUUAGGGAAGAACAUAUGUGUAAGUAACUGUGCACAUCUUGACGGUACCUAAUCAGAAAGCCACGGCUAACUACGU